rnacentral:rRNA from 1 species
UACGUAGGGUGCGAGCGUUAAUCGGAAUUACUGGGCGUAAAGCGUGCGCAGGCGGUUUUGUAAGCCAGAUGUGAAAGCCCCGGGCUUAACCUGGGAAUGGCAUUUGGGACUGCAAGGCUUGAGUGCGGCAGAGGAGACUGGAAUUCCUGGUGUAGCGGUGAAAUGCGCAGAUAUCAGGAGGAACACCGGUGGCGAAGGCGGGACUCUGGGCCGUAACUGACGCUGAGGAGCGAAAGCGUGGGGAGCGAACAGG